UACGUAGGUGGCAAGCGUUGUCCGGAUUUACUGGGCGGAAAGAGCGCGCAGGCGGUCGUUCAAGUCGCGUGUGAAAGCCCCCGGCUCAACUGGGGAGGGUCACGCGAUACUGAUCGACUCGAAGGCAGGAGAGGGUAGUGGAAUUCCCGGUGUAGCGGUGAAAUGCGCAGAUAUCGGGAGGAACACCAAUGGCGAAGGCAGCUCGCUGGGACGGUACUGACGCUGAGGCGCGAAAGCGUGGGGAGCAAACAGG
rnacentral:rRNA from 1 species